AGCGAACGCUGGCGGCAGGCUUAACACAUGCAAGUCGAGCGGGCACUUCGGUGUCAGCGGCAGACGGGCGAGUAACACGUGGGAACGUACCCUUCGGUUCGGAAUAACGCUGGGAAACUAGCGCUAAUACCGGAUACGCCCUUUUGGGGAAAGGUUUACUGCCGAAGGAUCGGCCCGCGUCUGAUUAGCUAGUUGGUGGGGUAAUGGCCUACCAAGGCGACGAUCAGUAGCUGGUCUGAGAGGAUGAUCAGCCACACUGGGACUGAGACACGGCCCAGACUCCUACGGGAGGCAGCAGUGGGGAAUAUUGGACAAUGGGCGCAAGCCUGAUCCAGCCAUGCCGCGUGAGUGAUGAAGGCCUUAGGGUUGUAAAGCUCUUUUGUCCGGGACGAUAAUGACGGUACCGGAAGAAUAAGCCCCGGCUAACUUCGUG
rnacentral:rRNA from 1 species